rnacentral:ribozyme from 11 species
AAAAGGAAAAGGAAAGAGAAAGGAGGAGUGAGCCUGGACCUUCGUCCUCCUCUGCUUCUACUACUACUUCUUCUCCUUCUUCUUCUUCUUCUUCUUCUUUUUCGUCUUCUUCUUCU